rnacentral:rRNA from 1 species
UACAGAGGUCUCAAGCGUUGUUCGGAUUCAUUGGGCGUAAAGGGUGCGUAGGCGGCGCGGUAAGUCGGGUGUGAAAUCUCGGAGCUUAACUCCGAAACUGCAUUCGAUACUGCCGUGCUUGAGGACUGGAGAGGAGACUGGAAUUUACGGUGUAGCGGUGAAAUGCGCAGAUAUCAGGAAGAACACCAAUGGCGAAAGCAGCUCUCUGGGACGGUACUGACGCUGAGACGCGAAAGCGUGGGGAGCGAACAGG